UCGUUGCGUCGCCGGUAGAGGAGGCGUUGACGCACCGGAGCUCCUACUGCUGCUGCUGCUGCUGCUGCUGGAGCUCCUACUGCUCCUACUGCUGCUGCUGAAACACUAACCGGCUGUCCUGCAACUGAAACAGGACACACACUUCACUGACAGCAUCUCCACCCUGGGGGGGGGGAGUCACUCUUACAGUUUAAAGUGUGAUCACUCAGCAGCUCCAUCAUGAUCAAGAACGGACAUCACCAUCACCAAGUGAACACGAACACUGCAGCCGGAGGAAUGAAAGACGCAGCAGGGACGAGCCCAGGAUCUGCAGCCUGCAGUCCGGACAGGAGGAGGAGGAGGAUCCGGGUGUGGUGCGACGGCUGCUAUGACAUGGUUCAUUAUGGCCACUCCAACCAGCUGCGGCAGGCCAAGGCCAUGGGAGAUUACCUCAUCGUUGGAGUACACACAGACAGUGAGAUUGCGAAGCACAAGGGCCCGCCUGUCUUCACACAGGCAGAAAGAUACAAGAUGGUGCGGGCCAUAAAGUGGGUGGACGAGGUCGUGGAAGGAGCGCCUUACGUCACAACCCUCCAGACCCUCGACAAGUACAACUGUGACUUCUGUGUGCACGGAGAUGAUAUCACACUAACAGUGGAUGGGAAAGACACAUAUGAAGAGGUGAAGAAGUCAGGGCGGUACAGGGAGUGUAAGAGAACCCAGGGAGUUUCAACCACAGAUCUUGUUGGUAGGAUGCUACUGAUGACCAAAGCACAUCACAGCAACAUUGAUAGUUCAGACUAUCAACAGCACACGGACAACUUUGGAAAGAAGGGCCACAGUCCCUGGACAGGAGUGUCUCAGUUCCUGCAGACUUCACAGAAGAUCAUCCAGUUUGCCUCGGGCCAGGAGCCUCAACCCGGAGACACGAUCAUCUAUGUGGUGGGAGCCUUUGACCUCUUCCACAUCGGCCAUGUGGACUUCCUGGAAGCAGUACAUAAGCUCGCAGAAAAGCCAUACAUUAUAGUGGGGUUGCACUUCGAUCAGGAGGUGAACCGCUACAAAGGGAAAAACUACCCCAUCAUGAAUGUCCACGAGAGAACGCUCAGCGUCCUGGCUUGUCGAUAUGUGUCAGAAGUGGUGAUUGGUGCACCGUUUGCAGUCACAAAAGAUUUGCUGGACCAUUUCAAGGUGGAUCUUGUAUGCCAUGGAAAAACCGAAAUAUAUCCUGACAAGGAUGGAUCCGACCCUUAUGCUGAGCCGAGGAGGAAAGCAAUCCUGCGUACCGUUGACAGCGGGAACAGCCUCACUACGGACGCCAUUGUGCAGAGGAUAAUUAAAAACAGCCUAGUUCACACUACACAACUUGUCAAAGUCGUCAGAUCGCUGUACUGUUCACACUACACAACUUGGUGUCUUGUAAUUGGGAGUCUUUAAAUCGUUGUGGUUUUCACAUCACACGACUGACCGGCGACGGGGGGUCACACACUACAAGAUCUUUCACCUGAAGGAAUCUCCGAUGAGGUCUCCAAACUACGCUUUGUCACAAAAACACAUGCGAGAAAUACGGUUGCUAUUCGAGGCAAGGAACCAGAAGAAAGAGGCCAAAGAGAUUGCUGUGAUCCAGGCCAUGCGGCGACAAGAGGAGGAGAAAACUAAAGAAAGAACCCCGGCCGUGCUGUAGGAAGGCCCCCAAACAAGCACCACCGACCACGAGUCAACCUAACACUGACAAGCUCAAUUAAUCUAAACUCAUGUACAGUAAAAUCAAACCCUUUUAUAUGUGUUAUGAUGACACACGAUCCUGGCUAAAAGCAGCAGUCCUUAACAGCAGCCCGUUUAUAGCCAGGGCGGCAUAGUCUGCUGUGGGAUCAUCAGGUAUACAGUGUGUGUGUGUGGGUGUGUGUGUGUGAGGAUCUUCUGUGUAUUAAUAUAUUCGGCAUAUGCAAAUACAUUUUCAUGUCAGUCAACAAUCAACCCAGUCGCACUGCAGUUCAUGAAAUACUCACGACAUUUAACAUAUUGAUUUGUGUAUAGACACAAAAUUAAA